AAUGAACGUUGGCGGCAUGGAUUAGGCAUGCAAGUCGCACGAGAAACCAAUUAGCUUGCUAUGAGGUGGACAGUGGCGAAAGGGAGAGUAACGCGUGGUUACUUGCCCUCGGGACCGGGAUAGCGUUGGGAAACCGGCGGUAAUACCGGAUAACAUCUACGGAUCAAAUGGUGUGAUUCCGCCCGAGGAUAGGACCGCGUACUAUUAGCUUGUUGGCGAGGUAACGGCUCACCAAGGCUGCGAUGGUUACCGGGUGUGAGAGCAUGGCCCGGCUCACUGGGACUGAGACACUGCCCAGACAUCUACGGAUGGCUGCAGUCGAGAAUCUUCGGCAAUGGACGAAAGUCUGACCGAGCGAUGCCGCGUGCGGGAUGAAGGCCCUCGGGUUGUAAACCGCUGUCAGUUGGGAGGAAAUUUCCAUGGGGUUCUCUCCAUGGAUUGACCAAUCUUCAGAGGAAGGACGGGCUAAGUUCGUGCC
rnacentral:rRNA from 1 species